AAAAACCACUUAGAGGGGAGAGAAAAAGACGCGGAAACGCUGAUGAGGUGAAAGAGAAUAGCAACAUCUUUUGGGUCUUGUCUUCACCCUCCCGGGAGCGGCUCUGGUGCAGGCGGCUCCCCAAUUGGGCAACUGUUGUAGGCAUCAUUCAGGCGGGAAGUGGCAUUUCAGCUGGAAGGUUCCGCCAAGCUUCUAGCAGCAACAUUAACCCCCCUUUUUGGCCCCCAUCUUGGUGGCCCGCCCUCGGGGGGGGGUGUUUUUUUUUAGGGUAAAAAAGGGCAUGGCUUACGGGCCCGAUUAUGGCCGAGCUGUGGGUCGGCGGCGGUCGCUUGCGACACGUGCUGUGCCAGCAGUUCGGUCCUGGUCGAGCUCCCAUAGUGCCCAUUCUCGGUGUAAGAGCUGGUCAUCUCUCCGACCCGUCUUGAAACACGGACCAAGGAGUUUAUCGUGUGCGCGAGUCAUUGGGCGUUGAAAACCCAAAGGCGCAAUGAAAGUGAAGUGCCACGCAAGUGGCUGAUGUGCGAUGUUGUGUUCCACGGCACACGACCGCAGCAUGGCCCCAUCCUGGCUGCUUGCAGCGGGGUGGAGGAAGAGCGUGCGCGAUGAGACCCGAAAGAUGGUGAACUAUUCCUGAGCAGGAUGAAGCCAGAGGAAACUCUGGUGGAAGUCCGAAGCGAUUCUGACGUGCAAAUCGAUCGUC
rnacentral:rRNA from 1 species